UACGUAGGGGGCGAGCGUUGUCCGGAAUCAUUGGGCGGAAAGAGCUCGUAGGCGGUUCAGCAAGUCGGCUGUGAAAUUCCGAGGCUCAACCUCGGAACUGCAGUCGAUACUGCUGUGACUCGAGUCCGGUAGAGGAGAAUGGAAUUCCCGGUGUAGCGGUGAAAUGCGCAGAUAUCGGGAGGAACACCAGUAGCGAAGGCGGUUCUCUGGGCCGGUACUGACGCUGAGGAGCGAAAGCGUGGGGAGCAAACAGG
rnacentral:rRNA from 1 species